AAGGUUUGGUCCUAGCCUUGAAAUCAGUUAUUAAUUAUAUUACACAUGCAAGUCUCCGCACCCCUGUGAAAACGCCCUCAAAUCCCUCAUAGGGAUUAGGAGCUGGUAUCAGGCUCUUAAUAUGCCCAAGACACCUAGCCUCGCCACACCCACAAGGGACUUCAGCAGUGAUUAACAUUGACCAUAAGCGACAGCUUGACUCAGUUAAAUUUUAAAGAGCCGGCCAAUUUGGUGCCAGCCGCCGCGGUUACACCAGAAGCUCAAACUGAUUUCUAUCGGCGUAAAGCGUGAUUAAAGCAACCCCCCCCCCUGGAAUUAAAUUAAAACUGAGCCGUGACACGCCUGUUACUUAAGAAACCCAAAAACGAAAGUUAUUCCAAUUAAACCCACUUGAACUCACGACAACUGACACACAAACUGGGAUUAGAUACCCCACUAUGCUCAGUCGUAAACUUUAAAUUACACCACACUCGCCCGGGAACUACGAGCUAAGCUUAAAACCCAAAGGACUUGACGGUACCCCAUAUCCACCUAGAGGAGCCUGUUCUGUAAUCGAUAAUCCACGUUUAACCUCACCAUUUUUAGCCUAUUCAGCCUGUAUACCUCCGUCGUCAGCUUACCACGUGAGCGCAAGUGAGCUCAAUGUUUUUACAACAAUACGUCAGGUCAAGGUGCAACUUAUGAAAUGGGAAGAGAUGGGCUACAUUUUCUAGUAUAGACCAUACGAAAGACUACUUAUGAAACCUAGUCGGAAGGCGGAUUUAGCAGUAAAUAGGGACCAGAAAACCCUUUUUAAUUCGGCACUGGGGUGUGUACACACCGCCCGUCACCCUCCUCCUAUGCUUAAUACUAGUCCUUGACAAAAUUCAGCCCCCUUAGAAGAGGUAAGUCGUAACAUGGUAAGUAUACCGGAAGGUGUGCUUGGAAC
rnacentral:ncRNA from 1 species